rnacentral:lncRNA from 10 species
GCGCACGCGGGAACUGGGAUCUCAACCCCAGGGCUAGGUGCCUCCUCCCGCUGCUUUCCGCCAGCUGCGGGGUGUGAGAUUAAUCCCCGCCGAUUAGCGCCAGGUGUACUAAGCGCUGGAUGGUUCCCUGACCAGAUGAAACAUCAGCCGAUGUUCUAAUGCCGGUCCCCUGGGCGCUGUCCCCGAGAGGGAAAACCUGUUUUCUGACCCCGGCUCUAGUCGGCCUCUGGAGGUCUGCAGCUGGGUUAUUUUACCUUUGAAACGGACGACACCUGCCCCGUGCACCCCAGCGGCUCCUCCACACGGAGAGAUGGUGUCAGUCAAAGGCCGUCUAGAUGACGAGUUUAUGAAAUUGUUCCUGGCCCGUGCCGGGCACGACCUUGCAGAGAGCCCAGAAGAUGAAACCCCAGCCCUGCCAGGAGCUCACCUGCUAAUUAGGAGGACAACGAAUCACCUCACCUCCCUAGACUUUGCUUCUCCUUUAUUCAGUGAGGGAUUGGACUAGCUGGUCCUUGAGGACUUUUCAGAAAGUCUGGUUCUGGGAGAUGACCAAUGGGAUCAUCUUAUGCUAUGAGCUUUCCUGGAAUGACAGGUAAUUGGUGCGCCUUCCCAGCAGGGUCAGGGAGAGUUGCUGGGACUUGAAGGAAAGGCUUUUGGGGAGAGGAGCCAGUGUUACAAACUAUCGAAAAGCUUGGAGGUGGGAAAUUUACAAAAGGUGAUUCCAGGGUCAGCUUUUUUGUCACCUGCUUCCGACUUCGGCAGUUUGGAGAGGGCGAGUAAGUAAUACCCUUCAGGGUCUUGGGAUGUGGCCCAGCAAAAUCCUUAGAGGGACUUUGAAGUCUUAGUUUUAAGUUUAGAAUUAAUGGGCAGAGUACUUAAAUAGCCAUUUCUCCAAAGAUGUAUACAAAUGGCCCACAGGCCCAUAAAAAUGUUGCAUUCCACCCUAUAACAUGUUUUUGCAUAAAAAAGUUUUAAAAUAACUGUUGUCUGGUAAAUUGACACCUCUGGAAUAGAAUGUAUGCUAGGUUUUUUACCCUACUGCUUCAAACCCCAUCCUACACACACACUCCUAGGGUGUGCAUCAUCCAGUUUAAGAAGCACCCUUGGAGAAACAAAGUUGAUAGUGUGUCCAGAAUUGAUGGGUUCUUGGUCUCACUAACGCAAGACUGAAGCUGCAGACCCUCGCGGUGUUAGUUUUUAAAGGCGGUGUGUCUGGAGUUUGUUCCCUCAGAUGUUCCGAUGGGUUUGGAGUUUUUUCCUUCUGGUGGGUUUGUGGUCUUGCUGGCUCAGGAGUGAAGCUGCAGACCUUCGCCUGAGUGUUACAGCUUUUAAGACGGCAUGUACUGGAGUUGCUAGUUCACCCCGGUGGGUUCGUGUAUCUCACUAGCUUCAGGAGUGAAGCUGCAGACAUUUGCAGUGAGUGUUACAGCUCAUAAAGGCAGUGCAGACCUAAAAAACAAAAAGAACAAAGCUUCCAUACUGUGGUAAGAAAAUCCUAGUGAGUUACUGCUGCUGUCUUAGGGCAGCCUGUGUUUAUUCUCUUCUCUGGCCCCACCCACAUCCUGCUGAUUGGUCCAUUUUAGAGAGAGCUGAUUGGUCUGUUUUACAGAGAGCUGAUUGAGCCGUUUUGACAGGGUGCUGAUUGGUGCGUUUAUAAUCCCUGAGCUAGACACAAAAGUUCUCCAGGUCACCACUAGAUUAGCGAGAUACACAGUGUCGAUUGGUGUAUUUACAAACCGUGAGCUAGACACAGAGUGCUGAUUGGUGCAUUUACAAACUUUGAGCUAGAUACAGAGUGCCGAUUGGUGCAUUCACAAUCCCUUAGCUAGACAAAGGUUCUCCAAGUCCCCACCAGAUUAACUAGAUACACAGUGCCGAUUGGUUCAUUCACAAACCCUGAGCUAGACACAGGGUGCUGAUUGGUGUGUUUGCAAACCUUGAGCUAGAUACAGAGUGCCCAUUGGUGUAUUUACAAUCCCUUAGCUAGACAUAAAGGUUCUCCAAGUCCCCACUAGACUUAGGA